rnacentral:rRNA from 1 species
CGAGUGAAGCGGCAACAGCUCAAAUUUGAAAUCUGGUCCCCCUUGGGGGCCCGAGUUGUAAUUUGAAGAGGAUGCUUCUGGCGAGGCGCCGUCCGAGUUCCCUGGAACGGGACGCCGGAGAGGGUGAGAGCCCCGUACGGUCGGACGCCGAGCCUCUGUGAAGCUCCUUCGACGAGUCGAGUAGUUUGGGAAUGCUGCUCAAAAUGGGAGGUAAACCCCUUCUAAAGCUAAAUACCGGCCAGAGACCGAUAGCGCACAAGUAGAGUGAUCGAAAGAUGAAAAGCACUUUGAAAAGAGAGUUAAAAAGCACGUGAAAUUGUUGAAAGGGAAGCGCUUGCGACCAGACUCGCGCCCGUCGGAUCAGCCGUCGCUUGUCGGCGGCGCACUCCGGCGGGCUCGGGCCAGCAUCGGUUCGCCUCGGGGGGAGAAAGGCGGCGGGAACGUGGCUCUACGGAGUGUUAUAGCCCGCCGUGUAAUACCCCCGGGUGGACCGAGGACCGCGCGAAAGCAAGGAUGCUGGCGUAAUGGUCGUCAGCGACCCGUCUUGAAACACGGACCAAGGAGUCGUCCUAAUAUGCGAGUGUACGGGUGUCAAACCCCUGCGCGUAAUGAAAGUGAACGGAGGUGAGAGCUUCGGCGCAUCAUCGACCGAUCCUGAUGUUCUCGGAUGGAUUUGAGUAAGAGCAUAUUGGGCCGGACCCGAAAGAAGGUGAACUAUGCCUGUGUAGGGUAAAGCCAGAGGAAACUCUGGUGGAGGCUCGCAGCGGUUCUGACGUGCAAAUCGAUCGUCAAACAUGGGCAUGGGGGCG